rnacentral:rRNA from 1 species
GCCUACCAAUUCCAGACAAACUCCGAAUGCUAUGACAUUUAAUCGGGAGUGAGGCAGUGGGUGCUAAGGUCCAUUGCCGAGAGGGAAACAACCCAGACUAUCAGUUAAAGUCCCUAAAUAUACGCUAAGUUGAUCUAACGUGGUGCGAUUGCAUUGACAGCUAGGAUGUUGGCUUGGAAGCAGCCAUUCAUUUAAAGAGUGCGUAACAGCUCACUAGUCGAGCGAUUGUGCGUGGAUAAUAAUCGGGCAUAAGCGUAUUACUGAAGCUAUAGAUCUAUUUUAAUAGAUGGUAGGAGAGCAUUCUAAUUUGUGUUGAAGAUAUAAUUUGAGUUAUAUUGGAACAAUUAGAAAAGAAAAUGUAGGUAUAAGUAACGAUAAAGCGGGAGAGAAACCCGCUCACCAAUAGACUAAGGUUUCCUGAUCAACGCUAAUCGGAUCAGGGUUAGUCGGAUCCUAAGGCGAACCCAAAUGGGGUAGUCAAUGGACAACAGGUUAAUAUUCCUGUACUAGUAUUUAUUGUGAUGGGGUGACGUAGAAGUGAAAAUCUUGCGUACUGACGGAAUAGUGCGUUGAAUGACAAAGGUAUACAUUAGAUAGGAAAAUCCGUCUUUUGUGCUGAAGUCAGAUAGUACCAUGAGUCUUCGGACAAGUGGAUAAAGAUGUAAUCAUGCUACCAAGAAAAACCUCUAAACUUCAGAUAAUUACUAUCCGUACCUCAAACCGACACAGGUAGUCAAGUAGAGAAUACUAAGGUGCUCGAGUGAUUCAUGGCUAAGGAACUAGGCAAAUUAGUCUCGUAACUUCGGGAGAAGAGACGCUUACUUUCUUCGGAAAGAAGCCGCAGUGAAAUGGCCCAGGCGACUGUUUAUCAAAAACACAGGACUCUGCUAAAUCGAAAGAUGAUGUAUAGGGUCUGACACCUGCCCGGUGCCGGAAGGUUAAAUGGAGGGGUUAUACUUCGGUAGAAGCUCUGAAAUGAAGCCCUGGUAAACGGCGGCCGUAACUAUAACGGUCCUAAGGUAGCGAAAUUCCUUGUCGGGUAAGUUCCGACCUGCACGAAUGGUGUAACGAUCUGGGCACUGUCUCAGCCAUGAGCUCGGUGAAAUUGUAGUAUCGGUGAAGAUGCCGAUUACCCGCAACGGGACGGAAAGACCCCGUGAACCUUCACUACAGCUUAACAUUGACUUCGAGUAAAUAAUGUGUAGAAUAGGUGGGAGACUUUGAAGCUGCUUCGCUAGGAGUGGUGGAGUCAAUAAGUGAAAUACCACCCUUUAUUUAUUUGGAUUCUAAUCCUGAAAGGGAAACAGUGUUUGGUGGGUAGUUUGACUGGGGUGGUCGCCUCCAAAAGAGUAACGGAGGCUUCCAAAGGUACCCUCAGCACGCUUGGUAACCGUGCGUAGAGUGUAAUGGCACAAGGGUGCUUAACUGUGAGACCUACAAGUCGAGCAGAGACGAAAGUCGGGCAUAGUGAUCCGGUGGUUCCGCAUGGAAGGGCCAUCGCUCAAAGGAUAAAAGGUACUCCGGGGAUAACAGGCUGAUCACUCCCAAGAGCUCAUAUCGACGGAGUGGUUUGGCACCUCGAUGUCGGCUCGUCACAUCCUGGGGCUGGAGAAGGUCCCAAGGGUUGGGCUGUUCGCCCAUUAAAGUGGCACGCGAGCUGGGUUCAGAACGUCGC